ACAAGGGAUUCAGUUGCAUGGCAUUGCAAUGGCUGUUCAUUUGCCUAAAAAGCAUAUGAAGUAAGGGCUGGGUAAGACGGGUGCCAGCCGCCGCGGUAAUACCCGCAGCCCGAGUGGUGAUCGUUAUUAUUGAGCCUAAAGCGUCCGUAGCUGGUUCGUUAAAUCCUUGGGUAAAUCGGAUAGCUCAACUAUUCGAAUUCCGAAAAGACUGGCGAACUUGGGACUGGGAGAGGUCAGAGGUACUCCGGGGUAGGGGCUAAAUCCUGUAAUCCUUGGGGGACCACCAGUGGCGAAGGCGUCUGACUAGAACAGAUCCGACAGUAAGGGACGAAGCCCUGGGUCGCAAACCGGAUUAGAUACCCGGGUAGUCCAGGGUGUAAACGCUGCUUGCUUGAUGUUAGUUGGGCUCCGAGCCCAACUAGUGUCAGAGAGAAGUUGUUAAGCAAGCUGCCUGGGAAGUACGGUCGCAAGGCUGAAACUACAAGGGAUUACAAGGGAUUCACA
rnacentral:rRNA from 1 species